CGGAGGCGGAGGUGGAGGCUCCGGCUCAGGCUCCGGCGGGGGAGGAGGAAGAGGGGGCGCGGUGGUGGCGCCCUCGCGCCGGCAGUGCCGCGUGUCCGCGGCGGUGCUGACGGCCGCGGAGACGGCGACGGCGACGCGGCGCCGCGUGACGCACUCGAUGCCGCCGGAGAAGGCGGAGGUGUUCCGGUCGCUGGAAGGGUGGGCGAGGUCGUCGCUGCUGCCGCUGCUCAAGCCCGUG
rnacentral:misc_RNA from 1 species